rnacentral:lncRNA from 1 species
GCCUAAUUGCCCAUGUCAUGAGAAUGUAAGUGUUAUUAUCUCUUAUUAGCCAUGAUACAAUACACUUUCCAAAAUGAAAUUAAUGAAUCAAUGGUUUAUUGACUACCUCAGAGACAGGGGGACUAUGACACUGUGACGGGCUGAGUGUCUGAGCUCCACAGGGGACUGUUCAUGAUCAUACACAGUAUGACACGCAGUGAAAUGCUAAUUGCUGUGCUAUUCCCAACCAGAUACAAGAAUACAACUAAAAUUAAAAAUCAAUCAUAAAAUUAAAGUUAAAAAUCAAGAUUAAAAAGGUGUGCAAAUCAGCAGUGUGUGGAUUGACAGUGAACAGUCAAUAACAGUUAUGAGGUAUAUUAUUGAAGUACAUUAUUGUUAUUAAGUGCAUGUGCAAGAAGCUCCUCCUCAUUCUCUCUGUGUUGGCCUGAAGGGCGCGUGAUGAUGACACGCUGGUAAAGAGGGAAUGAUCUGGAGGAAAUCAGCUGCUUCUAAACAGAGCUAAAACCACAGAGGUGGUGAAGAAGAGCUUAAGAAGGAAGAGAGCAGCAGCAUGACUGACACAGGGUCUUGGCGGUGGAGGAGUACAGAGAUAUGCGAGAAGAAGAACAUCAACAGGAAGACAUCUGGUGCAAAGACGGUGAAAGUGUCUCUUUAAGUGUGUUAAAGGUUGUCAACAAAGAAGUGUGGUG